rnacentral:tRNA from 1 species
GGAGAGGUGUCCGAGUGGCUGAAGGAGCUCGCCUGGAAAGCGAGUAUACCGUGUAUAGCGGUAUCGAGGGUUCGAAUCCCUCCCUCUCCG